rnacentral:rRNA from 1 species
UACGGAGGGAGCUAGCGUUGUUCGGAAUUACUGGGCGUAAAGCGCACGUAGGCGGCUUUGUAAGUUAGAGGUGAAAGCCCGGGGCUCAACCCCGGAAUAGCCUUUAAGACUGCAUCGCUUGAAUCCGGGAGAGGUGAGUGGAAUUCCGAGUGUAGAGGUGAAAUUCGUAGAUAUUCGGAAGAACACCAGUGGCGAAGGCGGCUCACUGGACCGGUAUUGACGCUGAGGUGCGAAAGCGUGGGGAGCAAGCAGG